UACGAAGGGGGCUAGCGUUGCUCGGAAUCACUGGGCGUAAAGCGCACGUAGGCGGCCUUCUAAGUCGAACGUGAAAUCCCCGGGCUCAACCCGGGAACUGCGUCCGAUACUGGAAGGCUUGAAUCCGGGAGAGGGAUGCGGAAUUCCAGGUGUAGCGGUGAAAUGCGUAGAUAUCAGGAGGAAUACCGAUGGCGAAGGCAGGUCUCUGGGCUGACACUGACGCUCAUGCACGAAAGCGUGGGGAGCAAACAGG
rnacentral:rRNA from 1 species